rnacentral:rRNA from 1 species
ACAACAGUUGGAAACGACUGCUAAUACCGCAUAAGCCCACGGGUCGGCAUCGACCAGAGGGAAAAGGAGCAAUCCGCUUUGAGAUGGCCUCGCGUCCGAUUAGCUAGUUGGUGAGGUAACGGCCCACCAAGGCAACGAUCGGUAGCCGGACUGAGAGGUUGAACGGCCACAUUGGGACUGAGACACGGCCCAGACUCCUACGGGAGGCAGCAGUGGGGAAUAUUGCACAAUGGGGGAAACCCUGAUGCAGCGACGCCGCGUGGAGGAAGAAGGUCUUCGGAUUGUAAACUCCUGUUGUUGAGGAAGAUAAUGACGGUACUCAACAAGGAAGUGACGGCUAACUACGUGCCAGCAGCCGCGGUAAAACGUAGGUCACAAGCGUUGUCCGGAAUUACUGGGUGUAAAGGGAGCGCAGGCGGGAAGACAAGUUGGAAGUGAAAUCCAUGGGCUCAACCCAUGAACUGCUUUCAAAACUGUUUUUCUUGAGUAGUGCAGAGGUAGGCGGAAUUCCCGGUGUAGCGGUGGAAUGCGUAGAUAUCGGGAGGAACACCAGUGGCGAAGGCGGCCUACUGGGCACCAACUGACGCUGAGGCUCGAAAGUGUGGGUAGCAAACAGGAUUAGAUACCCUGGUAGUCCACACCGUAGACGAUGAUUACUAGGUGUUGGAGGAUUGACCCCUUCAGUGCCG